AUAACUAUUGGAAACGAUAGCUAAUACCGCAUAACAGUAGAUAUCGCAUGAUAGCUGCUUGAAAAGGUGCAAUUGCACCACUACCAGAUGGACCUGCGUUGUAUUAGCUAGUUGGUGAGGUAACGGCUCACCAAGGCCACGAUACAUAGCCGACCUGAGAGGGUGAUCGGCCACACUGGGACUGAGACACGGCCCAGACUCCUACGGGAGGCAGCAUG
rnacentral:rRNA from 1 species